rnacentral:rRNA from 1 species
AGCGAACGCUGGCGGCAGGCUUAACACAUGCAAGUCGAACGCCCCGCAAGGGGAGUGGCAGACGGGUGAGUAACACGUGGGAACGUACCCUUUGGUUCGGAAUAACUUGGGGAAACUCAAGCUAAUACCGGAUAAGCCCUUAUGGGGAAAGGUUUACUGCCGAAGGAUCGGCCCGCGUCUGAUUAGCUAGUUGGUGAGGUAAUGGCUCACCAAGGCGACGAUCAGUAGCUGGUCUGAGAGGAUGAUCAGCCACACUGGGACUGAGACACGGCCCAGACUCCUACGGGAGGCAGCAGUGGGGAAUAUUGGACAAUGGGGGCAACCCUGAUCCAGCCAUGCCGCGUGAGUGAUGAAGGCCUUAGGGUUGUAAAGUUCUUUUGGCAGGGAAAAUUAUGAUUGUACCUGCAGAAUAAGCACCGGCAAACUAUGUGCCAGCCGCCGCGGUAA